UACGUAGGUGGCAAGCGUUGUCCGGAUUUACUGGGCGUAAAGAGCGCGCAGGCGGUCGUGCAAGUCGCGUGUGAAAGCCCUCGGCUCAACUGAGGAAGUGCACCCGAAACUGGCGAGCUUGAGUACGAAAGAGGAUCGCGGAAUUCCCGGUGUAGAGGUGAAAUUCGUAGAUAGUCGGGAGGAACACCGGUGGCGAAGGCGGCGAUCUGGGUCGAUACUGACGCUGAGGUGCGAAGCGUGGGAGCAACAGG
rnacentral:rRNA from 1 species